CAAGGGGUGACCUGAGAGGAAGGUUCCAGAAGCCUGAAUGGGGUAAAAGCUUUGUGGGGCAGGAAAAACCCAUCUACCCUCGUCCCACCCUCCACCAUCACCAUCACCCUGGCUAGACUGAGGGCGUGACCAGUGCUUCUGGGGUGACCUGCCGCUGACCAACUCUGUGCAAGGAGGAAUAUCUGCGUGACCAUAUGUCUCCACUUGUGACGCCUGGCCACCUCGGCCAGAGUGGCAUCUUGUGAAGGAUGGUGCUUGAAAUCGUUCCGGGCUGAGACCACGCAGUCUUGAGCCAGGGACUUGGAGACAUCACAGCGGACAGCGGUCUGCUCCUCUGCUCUUCUUGCCAAAGUUCAUCCAUUCCCCUCAUUGACUCAGCAGCUGUGCAGCGUGUGACGCACGCUUCUUGUGACCUGGAAAGACUGAACCACCAAUGGCUCAAGAAAAGAAGGUGGAGGACCCCGAGAGAGGCAUAGAUGCCACCCCAGCUCCUCUCAAGCUGUGGAGCAGUCACUGCGACGGAGAGGUGCUGCUGAGGCUCUCCCGACAUGGGCCAGGCCAUGAGACCCCGAUGACCAUUCCUGAGCUGUUUCAGGAGUCUGUUGAGCGAUUUGGCGCUCACCCAGCCCUGGCCUCGAAGAACGACAAGAGGUGGGACACACUGACUUUCAGCCAGUUCUACGAUGCCUGCCGCAAGGCGGCCAGAUCCUUCAUCAAGCUGGGCCUGCAGCGCUUCCAUGGCGUUGGCAUCCUGGGUUGUAACUCCGCCGAAUGGGUCAUCGGCGCCCUUGGUGCUGUCUUGGCUGGGGGCCUCUGCGUUGGCAUUUAUGCCACCAACUCGGCCGAGGCCUGCCAGUACGUCAUCAGGCAAGCCAGGCUGAACGUCCUGCUGGUGGAGAAUGACCAGCAGCUGCAGAAGAUCCUGUCGAUUCCACCCGACAAGAUGGAGCCCGUGAAAGCCAUCGUGCAAUACAAGCUUCCCUUGAAGGAAAACAGCAGGAAUCUGUACUCGUGGCAUGACUUCAUGGAGCUGGGUAACGCCAUCCCCAAUGUGCAACUGGAUCGCAUCAUCUUGAGCCAGAAGGCCAACCAGUGCGCGGUCCUCAUCUAUACCUCGGGCACCACAGGGAACCCCAAAGGGGUGAUGCUGAGCCAUGACAACAUCACGUGGACUGCGGGGGCCGCAUGGCGGGAGCUGGAGCUGAGCUGUGCCUCAGGGAAGCAGGAGACGAUAGUCAGCUACCUGCCCCUCAGCCACAUUGCACCCCAGAUGACGGACAUCUGGUUGGCCAUCAAGAUUGGGGCGCUCAUUUUCUUCGCUCAGCCGGACGCACUCAGAGGCACCUUGCUGUACACUCUUCAGGAGGUGAAGCCCACCGUUUUCCUGGGGGUGCCUACUGUCUGGGAAAAGAUGCAGGAGACCAUCAAGGAAAAUGUAUCGAGGUCCUCGAGUCUGAGGAAGAAGGCGUUUGCAUGGGCAAAGAUACUUGGCUUAAAGGUCAACACCAAGCGGAUGCUGGGGAAGAGAGACAUCUCCAUGAACUACCGCAUGGCCAAGGCCCUCGUGUUCACGAAGGUCAGGACGACCCUGGGUCUGGACAACUGCCACUCCUUCUUCAGUGGGGCUGCACCCCUUUCCCAGGAAGUCUUAGAGUUCUUCCUCAGUCUGGACAUCCCUAUCGGUGAGAUCUACGGGAUGAGCGAGAGCUCUGGACCGCACACAGCCUCCAGCAAGAGCAAAUACAGAGUUCUGAGCUGCGGCAAGGUCUUUAAUGGCUGCAGGAACAUGCUGUAUGAGCAGAAUAGAGACGGCAUGGGCGAGGUGUGCAUCUGGGGCCGGCACGUCUUCAUGGGCUACUUGGACAGGGAGGAUGCCACGUUGGAAGUGCUGGAUGAUGAUGGCUGGCUGCACUCUGGGGAUAUGGGCCGCAUGGACAGCCAAGAUUUCCUCUAUAUCACUGGCCGAAUCAAAGAAAUGCUGAUCACGGCUGCUGGUGAAAACGUGGCCCCCGUUCCCAUCGAGACCCUAGUGAAGGAGAAGAUUCCCAUCGUCAGCAACGCGGUGCUGGUGGGCGACAAGGCCAAGUUCCUGAGCAUGCUGCUGACGCUGAAGUGUGAGACAGACCAAAUGAGUGGGGAGCCCCUGGACAAGCUGAACCUGGAGGCCCUUAACUUCUGCCGGACACUGGGCAGCAUGGCAGAUACUGUGUCGGAUGUAGUAAAGUUACGAGACCCGCUGAUCUACACAGCCAUCCAGCGUGGCAUAGACAACGUGAAUCAGGAAGUGAUCUCUGACGCGCAGAGAAUUCGGAAGUGGACCAUCUUGGAGAAAGACUUUUCCAUCCAAGGUGGAGAGCUGGGGCCAACAGCGAAACUCCGGAGACGUGUCAUAACCCAGAAAUACAGAGCCCAGAUCGAUAACAUGUACUUGUGACUGCUGGAGCGGAAGCGUCCGGCCGUCCUCAUGCCCUUUCCCCUUUUUAAGGGCACUCGUCAGAUUGGAUUAGGACUCACCCACUGCUCUUCAUUUCCAAAUAAGCUUCCCCCAGGUAGACCUCAUCUCAGUGGGCGACUCCCGACCUAGGAGCCCCCCUACCGUGCGGAAGAGGCCAGCCAGCCUUCCCGCUUCUCUGUCAGCGCCGCCUCAGCUUCCGAAGCAGGAGGCCCACAAAGGAGGCACCCCAGAUGACACACCUUCCAGGCCGUGAGAGGCUCUUCCUCCCCUAGGACUGUGUAUUCGGGAAAGAAAUGCUUCAGAGGUGUGAAUAACCGGACCUCAAAACACCUUCCCAAGAGCAGUAUGGAAACCCUCAAAUAAGUUGUGGUCAGGC